GCGUGGGUAGUCUAACGGUAGGACGCCGGCCUUCCAAGCCUGCGACGCGGGUUCGACUCCCGCCCCACGCA
rfam:Euryarchaeota archaeon RBG_16_67_27 RBG_16_scaffold_4394, whole genome shotgun sequence.